rnacentral:rRNA from 1 species
AGAGUUUGAUCCUGGCUCAGAGCGAACGCUGGCGGCAGGCUUAACACAUGCAAGUCGAACGGGCAUAGCAAUAUGUCAGUGGCAGACGGGUGAGUAACACGUGGGAACGUACCUUUUGGUUCGGAACAACUGAGGGAAACUUCAGCUAAUACCGGAUAAGCCCUUACGGGGAAAGAUUUAUCGCCGAAAGAUCGGCCCGCGUCUGAUUAGCUAGUUGGUAGGGUAAUGGCCUACCAAGGCGACGAUCAGUAGCUGGUCUGAGAGGAUGAUCAGCCACACUGGGACUGAGACACGGCCCAGACUCCUACGGGAGGCAGCAGUGGGGAAUAUUGGACAAUGGGCGCAAGCCUGAUCCAGCCAUGCCGCGUGAGUGAUGAAGGCCCUAGGGUUGUAAAGCUCUUUUAACGGGGAAGAUAAUGACGGUACCCGUAGAAUAAGCCCCGGCUAACUUCGUG